GAAAGCAGCAGUGUCAUCCGCCCCCAGCUCCUCCUCCUCCUCCUCCUCCUCCUACCUGGCUGACAGCACGACUCACUAUGAACAAGAGAGAAAACUAUGGAUGACAAAAGCUGCACCAGGUUGUUAUGGGACAACUAGGAGGACAGUGUGCUAAGGAAAGGCAGGAUAAAACUAACCUACCAACCAACCAAAGUACUAUUAUACACCAAAUGCAAAUAGCAGAAUCCUGGAUGACCACUUGAUAGUAGCAAAAAGCUGAUUUGGAGACUCCCAGCUGUGGUCGGUAAAGAAGAUACCAGCAGCCGUGGUGGUCUGGGAGCUUCAUGGACAGCUGGUCUGCAGGAACUCUACACUACUAACUCUACACUACUAACCAGAGCAUACAAAACAUUUGCCAGACCUAUUCUUGAAUACAGCUCAUCCGUCUGGAACCCAUACCACAUCUCUGACAUUAAUACUAUCGAACGCGUCCAAAAAUAUUUUACUAGAAGAGUUCUUCGCUCCUCCGAAAUCAACAAAAUACCUUAUACCACCAGGCUUGAAAUUCUGGGUUUAGAAAACUUAGAACUCCGCCGACUCCGACAUGAUCUGUGUUUAACGCACAGAAUCAUCUAUUGUAAUAUCCUUCCUGUAAAAGACUACUUCAGCUUCAAUUGCAACAAUACAAGAGCAAACAAUAGAUUCAAACUUAAUGUCAACCGCUUCAGACUUGAUUGCAGAAAAUAUGACUUUUGUAACAGAGUUGUUAACGCUUGGAACUCACUACCUGACUCUAUAGUCUCUACUCAAAAACCGAAAAUCUUCAACCAAAAACUGUCUACUAUUGACCUCACCCCAUUCCUAAGAGGACUAUAAGGGGCGUGCGUAAGAGCACAAAAGUGCCUACCGUUCCUGUCCUAUUGUUCUUUUACUUAUAUAUACUUUUCUCUCAUGAUGAGUUAUUUUUAUGUUGAUGAUUAUAUAUA